AUUGAACGCUGGCGGCAGGCCUAACACAUGCAAGUCGAGCGGAUGAAGGGAGCUUGCUCCUGGAUUCAGCGGCGGACGGGUGAGUAAUGCCUAGGAAUCUGCCUGGUAGUGGGGGAUAACGUCCGGAAACGGGCGCUAAUACCGCAUACGUCCUGAGGGAGAAAGUGGGGGAUCUUCGGACCUCACGCUAUCAGAUGAGCCUAGGUCGGAUUAGCUAGUUGGUGGGGUAAAGGCCUACCAAGGCGACGUUCCGUAACUGGUCUGAGAGGAUGAUCAGUCACACUGGAACCGAGCCACAGUCCAGACUCCUACGGGAGGCAGCAGUGGGGAAUAUUGGACAAUGGGCGAAAGCCUGAUCCAGCCAUGCCGCGUGUGUGAAGAAGGUCUUCGGAUUGUAAAGCACUUUAAGUUGGGAGGAAGGGCAGUAAGUUAAUACCUUGCUGUUUUGACGUUACCAACAGAAUAAGCACCGGCUAACUUCGUG
rnacentral:rRNA from 1 species